rnacentral:rRNA from 1 species
GACGAAAGUCUGACGGAGCAACGCCGCGUGAGUGAAGAAGGUUUUCGGAUCGUAAAGCUCUGUCUUUGAGGACGAAUGUGUCUAAUGUGAAUAAUGUUAGAUAAUGACGGUACUCGAGGAGGAAGCCACGGCUAACUACGUGCCAGCAGCCGCGGUAAUACGUAGGUGGCAAGCGUUGUCCGGAAUUAUUGGGCGUAAAGCGCGCGCAGGCGGGAUAUUAAGUCUGUUUUAAAAGUUCGGGGCUCAACCCCGUGAUGGAAUGGAAACUAAUAUUCUUGAGUGCAGGAGAGGAAAGUGGAAUUCCCAGUGUAGCGGUGAAAUGCGUAGAUAUUGGGAGGAACACCAGUGGCGAAGGCGACUUUCUGGACUGUGUCUGACGCUGAGGCGCGAAAGCCAGGGGAGUGAACGGGAUUAGAUACCCCGGUAAUCCUGGCCGUAAACGAUGGGUACUAGGUGUAGGAGGUAUCGACCCCUUCUGUGCCGGAGUUAACGCAAUAAGUACCCCGCCUGGGGAGU